rnacentral:snRNA from 1 species
GGAGGGUUUGUAUGACAUCUGUCAUCCCUUUGAUUGCCAGGGUGGAUGGGGCUGAUCUGGCUGGCUAGGUAGGUGUCCUUCCUUCCUUUACUGCUCCGUGUGUGUCCUUCCCGAAGCUGUGCGCUUGGGGAGGACAACCACCCGGGAGAGGAGGACGGUCUGCUUGGUCAAGGGUGUGUGAGUA